UACGUAGGGUGCAAGCGUUAUCCGGAAUUAUUGGGCGUAAAGAGCUCGUAGGCGGUUUGUCGCGUCUGCUGUGAAAGCCCGGGGCUCAACCCCGGGUCUGCAGUGGGUACGGGCAGACUAGAGUGCAGUAGGGGAGACUGGAAUUCCUGGUGUAGCGGUGAAAUGCGCAGAUAUCAGGAGGAACACCGGUGGCGAAGGCGGAUCUCUGGGCCGUAACUGACGCUGAGGAGCGAAAGCAUGGGUAGCGAACAGG
rnacentral:rRNA from 1 species